GAUGAACGCUGGCGGCGUGCUUAACACAUGCAAGUCGAACGGGAAACCUUUUAUUGAAGCUUCGGCAGAUUUAGAUUGUUUCUAGUGGCGGACGGGUGAGUAACGCGUGGGUAACCUGCCUUAUACAGGGGGAUAACAGUCAGAAAUGACUGCUAAUACCGCAUAAGCGCACAGAGCUGCAUGGCUCGGUGUGAAAAACUCCGGUGGUAUAAGAUGGACCCGCGUUGGAUUAGCUAGUUGGUGAGGUAACGGCCCACCAAGGCGACGAUCCAUAGCCGGCCUGAGAGGGUGAGCGGCCACAUUGGGACUGAGACACGGCCCAGACUCCUACGGGAGGCAGCAGUGGGGAAUAUUGCACAAUGGGGGAAACCCUGAUGCAGCGACGCCGCGUGAAGGAAGAAGUAUCUCGGUAUGUAAACUUCUAUCAGCAGGGAAGAAAAUGACGGUACCUGACUAAGAAGCCCCGGCUAACUACGUGCCAGCCGCCGCGGUAAAAC
rnacentral:rRNA from 1 species